rnacentral:rRNA from 1 species
CGGAAUCUGCCUAUUUGUGGGGGAUAACGUAGGGAAACUUACGCUAAUACCGCAUACGACCUACGGGUGGAAGCGGAGGACCUUCGGGCUUCGCGCAGAUAGAUGAGCCGAUGUCGGAUUAGCUAGUUGGCGGGGUAAAGGCCCACCAAGGCGACGAUCCGUAGCUGGUCUGAGAGGAUGAUCAGCCACACUGGAACUGAGACACGGUCCAGACUCCUACGGGAGGCAGCAGUGGGGAAUAUUGGACAAUGGGCGCAAGCCUGAUCCAGCCAUGCCGCGUGGGUGAAGAAGGCCUUCGGGUUGUAAAGCCCUUUUGUUGGGAAAGAAAAGCAGUCGGUUAAUACCCGAUUGUUCUGACGGUACCCAAAGAAUAAGCACCGGCUAACUUCGUGCCGGCAGCCGCGGUAAUACGAAGGGUGCAAGCGUUACUCGGAAUUACUGGGCGUAAAGCGUGCGUAGGUGGUUUGUUAAGUCUGAUGUGAAAGCCCUGGGCUCAACCUGGGAAUUGCAUUGGAUACUGGCAGGCUAGAGUGCGGUAGAGGGUAGUGGAAUUCCCGGU